GGAGGGCGCAAGCGUUGUUCGGAAUCACUGGGCGUAAAGCGCGUGCAGGCGGCUUGGUAAGUCGGGUGUGAAAUCCCGGAGCUCAACUCCGGAACUGCACCCGAUACUGCCUCGCUAGAGUCUCGGAGAGGAUGGCGGAAUUUCCGGUGUAGAGGUGAAAUUCGUAGAUAUCGGAAGGAACACCAGCGGCGAAGGCGGCCAUCUGGACGAUGACUGACGCUCAGACGCGAAAGCGUGGGGAGCAAACAGGAUUAGAUACCCUGGUAGUCCACGCUGUAAACGUUGGGUGCUAGGCGUCGUGGGUAUUGACCCCCGCGGUGCCGAAGCUAACGCAUUAAGCACCCCGCCUAGGGAGUACGGUCGCAAGACUA
rnacentral:rRNA from 1 species